rnacentral:rRNA from 1 species
ACCAUGCAAGUCGAACGGUGAAGCCCAGCUUGCUGGGUGGAUCAGUGGCGAACGGGUGAGUAACACGUGAGCAACCUGCCCCUGACUCUGGGAUAAGCGCUGGAAACGGCGUCUAAUACUGGAUAUGUGACGUGACCGCAUGGUCUGCGUCUGGAAAGAAUUUCGGUUGGGGAUGGGCUCGCGGCCUAUCAGCUUGUUGGUGAGGUAAUGGCUCACCAAGGCGUCGACGGGUAGCCGGCCUGAGAGGGUGACCGGCCACACUGGGACUGAGACACGGCCCAGACUCCUACGGGAGGCAGCAGUGGGGAAUAUUGCACAAUGGGCGCAAGCCUGAUGCAGCAACGCCGCGUGAGGGAUGACGGCCUUCGGGUUGUAAACCUCUUUUAGCAGGGAAGAAGCGAAAGUGACGGUACCUGCAGAAAAAGCGCCGGCUAACUACGUGCCAGCAGCCGCGGUAAUACGUAGGGCGCAAGCGUUAUCCGGAAUUAUUGGGCGUAAAGAGCUCGUAGGCGGUUUGUCGCGUCUGCUGUGAAAUCCGGAGGCUCAACCUCCGGCCUGCAGUGGGUACGGGCAGACUAGAGUGCGGUAGGGGAGAUUGGAAUUCCUGGUGUAGCGGUGGAAUGCGCAGAUAUCAGGAGGAACACCGAUGGCGAAGGCAGAUCUCUGGGCCGUAACUGACGCUGAGGAGCGAAAGGGUGGGGAGCAAACAGGCUUAGAUACCCUGGUAGUCCACCCCGUAAACGUUGGGAACUAGUUGUGGGGUCCAUUCCACGGAUUCCGUGACGCAGCUAACGCAUUAAGUUCCCCGCCUGGGGAGUACGGCCGCAAGGUAAA